ensembl:snoRNA
ACCCUCUAGAUUCCUUACCCCUCAGAUCUAAAUAUUGAUCUGGGUGGCUUUUAAAAAAGGAGGAAAAGUAAAACUGAAAUGGGCUGAGAACCUUUAGUUACACGCAAGUUCAUUUCAAACAUUU